rnacentral:lncRNA from 1 species
ACGGUCACUGACCAGGGUAUCUGAUCCUCUCAGUCUGAAGGAAAGUGAGAACUCAGCACAAACGCCAUGGACGGCACAGUGUGGGAGGGAGCAGCCCAGAGAGAGAAGCACGAAGCACUCGCUCAUGUCGGAGGAGGAGGAAGAGCGAUCCAUGGGCAGGCAGGGGAAUUUAAGAGAGAAACCUCCUUCAGACCCGGUUAGCGCACUGUUUUCAAAAAACCUGAAUGGAACAACCUGUUGAGAGAACAAAGAGCUCUUGUGUUUGUGGCACACGGGAGCCUGGCGGCAGGUGUGUGUCAGCGGGAGACCCACGG